GUGGCCGUGACCACCCCCCAAGGAGAGAGAAAGGUGGUUGCCGCAACCACCAACCAAGGAGUGAAAGGGGGAGCGGCCGUGCCCACUCCCAAAGGUGAGAGGGGAGUGGCCGUGCCCACUCCCAACGGAAAGCAAGGGGGAAAGGCCGUGUCCGAUCCCCCAGGGGAAAGCAAGGGUGUAGCUGUGUCUACACCCCAGCUAGAGAGAGGAAAGGGAACAGCCGUG